rnacentral:rRNA from 1 species
AGGGGGAGGACUGGCGGCGGACUACCAUGGCAGUCGAGCGGUAGAGAGAAGCUUGCUUCUCUUGAGAGCGGCGGACGGGUGAGUAAUGCCUAGGAAUCUGCCUGGUAGUGGGGGAUAACGUUCGGAAACGGACGCUAAUACCGCAUACGUCCUACGGGAGAAAGCAGGGGACCUUCGGGCCUUGCGCUAUCAGAUGAGCCUAGGUCGGAUUAGCUAGUUGGUGAGGUAAUGGCUCACCAAGGCGACGAUCCGUAACUGGUCUGAGAGGAUGAUCAGUCACACUGGAACUGAGACACGGUCCAGACUCCUACGGGAGGCAGCAGUGGGGAAUAUUGGACAAUGGGCGAAAGCCUGAUCCAGCCAUGCCGCGUGUGUGAAGAAGGUCUUCGGAUUGUAAAGCACUUUAAGUUGGGAGGAAGGGUUGUAGAUUAAUACUCUGCAAUUUUGACGUUACCGACAGAAUAAGCACCGGCUAACUCUGUGCCAGCAGCCGCGGUAAUACAGAGGGUGCAAGCGUUAAUCGGAAUUACUGGGCGUAAAGCGCGCGUAGGUGGUUUGUUAAGUUGGAUGUGAAAUCCCCGGGCUCAACCUGGGAACUGCAUUCAAAACUGACUGACUAGAGUAUGGUAGAGGGUGGUGGAAUUUCCUGUGUAGCGGUGAAAUGCGUAGAUAUAGGAAGGAACACCAGUGGCGAAGGCGACCACCUGGACUAAUACUGACACUGAGGUGCGAAAGCGUGGGGAGCAAACAGGAUUAGAUACCCUGGUAGUCCACGCCGUAAACGAUGUCAACUAGCCGUUGGAAGCCUUGAGCUUUUAGUGGCGCAGCUAACGCAUUAAGUUGACCGCCUGGGGAGUACGGCCGCAAGGUUAAAACUCAAAUGAAUUGACGGGGGCCCGCACAAGCGGUGGAACCAUGUGGUUUAAUUCGAAGCAACGCGAAGAACCUUACCAGGCCUUGACAUCCAAUGAACUUUCUAGAAAAUAGAUUGGUGCCUUCGGGACAUUGAGACAGGUGCUGCAUGGCUGUCGUCACUCGGGCCUGAAAAAUGUUGGGUUAAGUCCCGUAACGAGCGCAACCCUUGUCCUUAGUACCAGCCCGUAAUGGUGGGCACUCUAAGGAGACUGCCGUGAAACACGAGAAAGAGAGGGGGGGGGAGAACCCCAUUCUCUUGGGGCCUUUAGGGCGGGGGUAACACCUGUUUAAUGGUGGGGGUAAAAAGAGUGGCCACCCCCCCGGGGGAGGGAUAUCUCUAAAAACCAGCUGGGUUCGGAGGGCCGUUGGCACCCCACCGCGGGGUGGGGGAAACCCUUAAAUCCCGAACCAAAAAGAGGGGGGGAGAAAUUUCCCGGCGUUGGCCCCCCGCCCCCCCCCGGGGGGGGGGUGGGGGGAAAGAAAUAUUUAACUCUCUAGAAGGUUCCCGUGUUU